AUCAGACUUAGCAGCAUCUUCCUGUCCCAAGAGAAGAGGGGAUGGGAGGAUGGCAUGGUUCAGGGCUUAGGGGAGGAUAGGGGAGAAAAAGUGGAAGCAAAGGGAGAGGCCCAGGAAGGAUUUUGUUGCGACAUGUUACCUGGGCUGCACCUGCUGUAUGCAAGAGAAGAGGCUGGGAGUCCCCUCUGCAGGGUGUUCAUGCCCCAUCUCUGUGCCACGAGGAGUUGGGCUGCUGAAGCUGCAGUUCCUGAUACUGGUUUUUCUACAUGCUUCAGCCAAAGACAUAUACUCUUUGAUCCCUGAGAACACUAUUUCCUCAGUGUCUUUGCACAUGGAGUUCACUUCUCUGCUUGUGAAGUCUAUGAAUAUUGCAUGGCUGAUUUGUCACAAUUUUAAGUCUUCAACAUCUGGAGUGUUCUGGCAAGAAUUUGUAGGAAAAAUUUUUGAAUCAUCAGAUUACCAUAGCACAACCUUGGAGAAUAAAACUCUUUUGCUCUGAAGCUCAUCUAAUAACCUGAUAUCUCUCAAAUGAAUCUAUCCAAUGACAGGGAAUACCCCAUGUUAAACAGCUGAUUCUUGUUCUGAAUACGUUUAUUAUCUUGUAGUUAGUAAAUAAAUCAAUUGGACCCUUAAGACUUUGCUUAGAGUGAAUCUGUCUCCCAGAGCUUGAUCACAUUUGAAUGUACAGACAAAAACUAACAAAAGUGAGAUCCAUCUGGGGAUGAGGUAUUGGGAUUCUGUAAGAUCCUGCCUGAAACAGCC
rnacentral:lncRNA from 1 species